GACGGAGGAUGCAAGUGUUAUCCGGAAUCACUGGGCGUAAAGCGUCUGUAGGUGGUUUAAAAAGUCUACUGUUAAAAAUUGAAGCUUAACUUCAAAGAUGCCGUAGAAACUUUUAAACUUGAGGAUGGUGAGGGGUAGGAGGAAGUUUCCAGUUCGGAGCGGUGGAAAUGACGUAGAGAUCGGAAAGAACACCAACGGCGAAAGCACUCUGCUGGGCCGACACUGACACUGAGAGACGAAAGCUAGGGGAGCGAAUGGG
rnacentral:rRNA from 1 species